UUUUGACUAUUCUUGGUUUAAUUAUAAAGUUAGUGGGUUAAUGUUAAUAAGUCUAAUUACUUGGGGGUUAAAAGAGGUAACCUUAAGUUAACUAGUGGGGCAUUAUUGCCAUCUUUUAUCCUUAAUUAUAUACUAAUUAGGGUAAAAGAAAGAGGGUUUGAAUAAAGAAAAUAGAAAGAACAAGAGAAAGAGAGAGAAAGUUGAACGAGAAAGAGGAGAGACGAAGAGGACACAAAGCUUUGGGAAUUUGCUUGCUUGAUUUCUAAUCUUCGGUGGAGGUAGGUUAUGGUUUUCAUGCUUUCAUAGUAAACUCUUAAUAGAGAAUGAUAUGUAUUGGUAGUAUUGUAAACCCUGCUAUGUGCUUAAUUGUAUGCAUGCAUGAACGUGAUUAUAUAAUUGUGAUUACAUUAAGCAUGAUGAAGUUACUGAAUCCCAAAUCUUGAUAAAAACCUAAUCUCUUUUUAAUGAUGAUGCCUUGGUAAGGGAGAAGGCUUGAUGAACUAAAGUAAUGAGAUUGAUGAUGCCUUGGUAAGAAAGAAGGCUUGAUGAAUUGAUGGAAGGAUAUUUAGGGGAUCGGGUGUCACGAACCGACACGUAGAAUUAGGGGAUCGGGUGUCACGAACCGACACGCAGAAUUAGGGGAUCGGGUGUCACGAACCGACACGUAGAAUUAGGGGAUCGGGUGUCACGAACCGACACGUAGAAUUAGGGGAUCGGGUGUCACGAACCGACACGUAGAUUUAGGAGAUUGGGUGUCACGAACUGACACGUAGAUUUGGGGGAUCGAGUGUCACGAAUCGACACGUAGAUUUAGGGGAUCGGAGUGUCACGUGCCAACACAAGAGGAUUAAUGAAUAUGAGGGAUCGGAGUGUCACGUGCCAACACAAGAGGAUUAAUGAAUAUGAGGGAUCGGAGUGUCACGUACCGACACAAGAGGAUUAAUGAAUAUGAGGGAGCAGAGUGUCACGUACCGACACAAGAGAAAUAAAGAUAAUGAAUCUUGAAAGAUGUUAAUAUACUCAAUCUAAUAAACAUAAUUCCCAAAUGAGUAUGGCAUUGAGGCUUGAGUCCUCGUGCGUGAACUUGACGGUAAUUGUUAAUGAUAUAGUACUUGUUGUUGCUACAUGUUGAGUAUCAUGGUUGAUUUUAUGAUAUUAUUGGUAUAUAUUGAUUUUCUAUUUUGAGUUGGCCGAUGAUAUCUACUCAGUACCCGUGUUUUGUACUGACCCCUACUUUUAUGUUCUCUUCUUGUUUAUUUGUGGAGUGCAGCAAACGUGCCAUCGUCCUCAACUCAACAGUAAUUCAAGCCAGUCUUACUACAUCGAAAAUUCAGGGUGAGCUAAUGCUUCUAGCUUGGACUGGAUCUUCUUCUUCAAGUCUCGAUGCCUUGAACUUCCGGCAUGGACUAGCUUCUUAUGUAUUUUUAGCUUUUAGAAUACUCAUAGUUUAGUCGUUUGAUCGUAGAUGUUCUUGUGAUGAUGACUUCCAGAUUUUGGGGAAUAAUAGAUGUUGAAUUUAGAAGUUAAUGAAUUGGUCUUUAUUUAAUGAGUUUAAGUCUUCCGCAUUACUUUCUGUUGAUAUUAUAUUGAAAUGUUAAGGUUAGAUUGGUUGGUUCACUCACAUAGAAGGGUAAGUGUGAGUGUCAGUCGCAACCCGGUUUGGGUCGUGACAAACUUGGUAUCAGAGCAUUAGGUUCGUUUGUCUCAUCACACAAGAACGAGUCUAGUAGAGUCUUAAGGAACGGUAGGGGGACGCCUUUACUUUUCUUUGAGAGGCUAUAAGACUUUAGGAAAAUUCCAUUCUUUCUUUCUUUGUUUCGUGCUAUUACUUGGAUCCAAUUGGUAUCUAGGUGAUACAAAUUGGUAUCUGACCAUCUUCACUCUAUUUCGCAGAUGGUUAGAACUAGAGCAACGACUACGCCAACACCAACACCAGCACCGGCGGGACAGGGUGCGUCUGAGCAAGCCACUGGGGCUGUAGCUCGAGGAAGAGCAACGGCAAGAGGCCGUGGUAGAGGUCGUGGGAGGACGUCCUCUAAGGGAAGAGGACGAGCACCUAGCCCAUCUGAUACUAGGGCAGUGACUCCUCCACCGACUGAGGAAGUAAUAAGAGAAGGGGAGGAUGAGGAAACUGAACAAGUGCAGAAUGAGGGAUUGCCACCCCAACCUACCCCAGAGAUGAUCAAUCAGGUUCUCGCCUAUCUCAGUGGGUUGUCUGAUCAAGGUCAGGCACCUCCAGUGUUUUCUGCGCCAACACCUCCGGUUUCAGAAGUACAACAUGCAGCCACUAUGGCUCCUCGUAUGGAUGCCUCAUUGGACAUAGGCACAUUUCCACGUCUGACUACUGGGCCUAUAAUGACAAAUGAUCAGCAUAAACUUUUCAGUAAGUUCUUGAAAUUGAAACCUCCGGUCUUUAAGGGUGCUGAAUCGGAGGAUGCUUAUGAUUUUCUGGUUGACUGUCACGAGCUACUACACAAGAUGGGUAUAGUAGAACGGUUUGGUGUGGAGUUUGUAACUUUUUCAGUUUCAAGGGAACGCCAACAUGUGGUGGCGGUCACAUAUUGAGUGUCAACCAACAGAGGCACCACCUAUGACUUGGGCCUUAUUCUCUAGCUUGUUUAUGGAGAAGUAUAUCCCCCGAACUUUGAGGGAUAGGAAAAGGGAUGAGUUCUUGAGCCUAGAGCAAGGUAGGAUGUCGGUCAAUGCAUAUGAGGCUAUGUUUCGUGCAUUAUCCCGGUAUGCCACCCAACUAUGUUUCAGUCCACAAGAGCGGAUUCGCCGUUUUGUGAAGGGGUUGAGGUCAGAGUUGCGGAUUUCAGCCUUACAGGUAGCGGCUACGGCAAAAUCCUUCCAAGAGGUGGUAGACUUCGUGAUAGAGGUGGAAGGAGAGAAGCCAGAUGACUUCACCACGACAUCGACAUCAAAAAGGUUUCGAAAGGGAGGAGAGUUUAAUGGUUCUUACUCUAGAGGACAAGGUUCCGGAGGUUACUCAGUUCGACCCAUUCAGUCUUCACUACAGACUGUAGUUGGGGGUCCACCUCAGAUCGGUCAACACUUCUCUGAGAGACAUAUGCUUGACUCCAGAGAGUGUUAUGGGUGUGGGGAGACUGGGCAUAUUAGGAGGAAUUGUCCAAAACAGAGUUAUAGACCCCCAAUGGCUCGAGGUAAUGGUGGUCACCAAAACGGCCGAGGUGAUGGGCAAACUGGAGCCACUACAUCACAACAUGGUAGGGGCAACGGAUAGACGAACGAUAGGGCCCAUUGUUACGCUUUUCUUGAGCGGUCUGAAGCGGAGGCAUCUGAUGCUGUCAUCACAGGUAAUCUUCUGGUUUGUGAUUGCAUGGCUUCUGUAUUGUUUGAUCCUGGAUCCACAUUUUCUUAUGUAUCUUCCUCAUUUGCUAAUGGUCUAAAUUUACAUUGUGAAUUACUUGAUAUGCCUAUUCGUGUUUCUACUCCGGUGGGUGAGUCUGUGGUAGUUGAAAAGAUGUAUAGGUUUUGUUUGGUGAACUUUGUGGGGAUCAACACUUAUGUAGAUUUGGUUAUCUUGGAAAUGGAUGAUUUUGAUGUAAUUCUGGGCAUGACUUGGCUUUCUCCAAAUUUUGCAAUCUUGGAUUGUAAUGCUAAAAUCGUGACGUUAGCCAAACCUGGGACAGAUCCGUUAGUUUGGGAGGGUGACUACACUUCCAAUCCGGUGCGUAUCAUCUCCUUUCUUCGUGCUAAGAAAAUGGAUAGUAAAGGGUGUUUAGCUUUCUUGGCACAUCUCAAGGAUGACACUACCCAAGUACCCUCGAUUGAGUCGGUUUCGGUGGUCCGUGAGUUUCUGGAUGUGUUCCCUGCAGAUCUUCCUGGUAUGCCACCAGAUAGGGAUAUUGAUUUUUGUAUUGACCUUUAACCGGGUACUCGCCCCAUUACUAUACCCCCUUAUAGAAUGGCUCCCGCGAAGUUAAGAGAGUUAAAAGCCCAACUGCAAGAGUUGUUAAACAAAGACUUUAUUAGACCAAGUGCAUCUCCUUGGGGUGCUCCGGUUUUGUUUGUAAAGAAGAAGGGUGGGAGUUUUCGAAUGUGUAUAGACUACAGACAACUAAACAAGGUAACCAUAAAGAACAAGUAUCCUCUUCCCCGCAUUGAUGACUUGUUCGAUCAGUUACAAGGUGCUUGUGUCUUCUCUAAGAUUGACUUGAGAUCCGGUUAUCAUCAAUUGAAAAUACGGGCAACGGAUGUGCCAAAGACUGCUUUUCGAACGAGGUAUGGGCAUUACGAAUUUGUAGUGAUGUCUUUUGGUCUUACGAAUGCCCCUGCUGCGUUCAUGAGCUUGAUGAACGGGAUUUUUAAGCCAUAUUUGGACCUCUUCGUGAUCGUAUUUAUUGAUGAUAUAUUGGUAUACUCAAAGAGCAAGAAGGAACAUGAAGAGCAUUUGAGAAUGGUAUUGGAAAUGUUGAGGGAGAAAAAGUUUUAUGCCAAGUUCUCUAAGUGUGAGUUUUGGCUAGAUGUUGUGUCCUUCUUGGGGCACGUGGUUUCUAAGGAUGGAGUGAUGGUGGAUCCUUCUAAGAUUGAGACAGCGAAGAAUUGGGUAAGACCUACUAAUGUGUGAGAAAUAAGGAGCUUUGUUGGGUUAGCUAGCUACUACCGUCGAUUUGUCAAGGGAUUCUCUUCUAUUGCUUCCUAAUUGACGAACUUGACUAAGCAGAAUGUUCCAUUUGUAUGGUCGGACGAAUGUGAGGAAAGCUUUCAGAAGCUCAAGACUUUCUUGACUACCGCACCUAUCCUUACCUUGCCAGUAGAGGGUAAGAACUUCAUUGUUUAUUGUGAUGCAUCCUAUUCUGGUUUGGGUGCAGUACUAAUGCAAGAGAAGAGUGUGAUUGCUUAUGCUUCAAGGCAACUAAAGGUGCAUGAACGUAACUAUACGACCCAUGAUUUUGAAUUGGCUGCGGUAGUGUUUGCAUUAAAGCAAUGGAGACACUAUUUAUAUGGGGUUAAGUGUGAGAUCUAUACGGAUCAUUGUAGCCUACAGUAUGUCUUUACUCAGAAAGAUUUGAACUUGAGACAGAGGAGAUGGAUGGAACUACUGAAGGACUACGACAUCACUAUUUUGUAUCAUCCGGGGAAGGCGAAUGUUGCAGCGGAUGCUUUAAGUAGAAAGGUGGGAAGCAUGGGAAGUCUAGCUCACUUGCAAGCUUCUAGACGCCCAUUGGCUAGAGAGGUUCAGACUCUAGCUAAUGACUUGAUGAGAUUAGAAGUAAAUGAGAAGGGAGGAUUGUUGGCUAGUGUGGAGUCAAGAUCUUCUUUUCUUGACAAAAUUAAGGGAAAACAGUUUGAUGAUGAGAAACUAAGGCGAAUCCGAGAUAAAGUAUUGUGAGGGGAGGCUAAUGAAGCACAAAUCGAUGAGGAAGGUGUUUUGAGAAUCAAGGGAAGGGUAUGUGUACCCCGCGUCGAUGAUUUGAUCAACACCUAUUUUGACAGAGGCUCAUAGUUCACGGUAUUCUAUACAUCCGGGUGCAACCAAGAUGUAUCGUGACCUAAAACAACACUUUUGGUGGAGUAGAAUGAAGCGUGAUAUUGUUGACUUUAUUGCCAAGUGUCCAAACUAUCAACAAGUAAAGUAUGAACACCAAAGGCCCGGGGGAACACUUCAGAGAAUGCCCAUUCCGGAAUGGAAGUGGGAGAGAAUUGCAAUGGACUUUGUGGUUGGUCUUCCAAGGACAAUAGGUAAGUAUGACUCCAUUUGGGUGAUUGUUGAUAGGUUAACUAAAUCUGCUCAUUUCAUUCCGGUAAAGGUGACUUACAAUGCAGAGAAGUUAGCCAAGAUCUAUAUCUCAGAAAUCGUUCGAUUGCAUGGGGUUCCACUAUCCAUCAUAUCAGAUAGAGGUACGCAGUUUACUUCUAAGUUUUGGAAAACACUGCAUGCGGAAUUGGGUACUAGGUUGGACCUUAGUACCGCGUCCCAUCCUCAGACCGAUGGUUAGUCUGAGCGAACGAUUCAAGUGUUGAAGGAUAUGCUUCGUGCGUUCGUGAUAAAAUUUGGUGGCCAUUGGGAUAGCUUCUUACCCUUAGCGGAAUUUUCAUACAAUAAUAGCUAUCACUCGAGCAUCGAUAUGGCUCCAUUUGAGGCACUAUAUGGGAGGAGAUGUAGGUCUCCCAUUGGUUGAUUUGAUGCAUUCGAGGUUAGACCUUGGGGUACUGACCUUUUGAGGGAUUCGAUAGAGAAAGUGAAGUCUAUUCAAGAAAAGCUUCUAGCGGCGCAAAGUAGACAAAAAGAAUAUGCAGAUCGAAAGGUUAGAGACUUAGAGUUCAUGGAAGGUGAACAAGUCUUGUUGAAGGUUUCGCCAAUGAAGGGGUGAUGCGAUUUGGUAAGCGAGGUAAACUUAGCCCAAGGUAUAUUGGUCCAUUUGAAGUACUUAAGCGAGUAGGGGAGGUGGCUUAUGAGUUACCUUGCCUCCAGGGCUGUCCGGAGUGCAUCCGGUAUUCCAUGUGUCUAUGUUGAAAAGAUAUCAUGGGGAUGGAAAUUACAUCAUCCGUUGGGAUUCAGUUUUGCUUGAUGAGAAUUUGUCUUAUGAGAAGGAGCCUGUUGCUAUUUUAGAUAGAGAAGUUCGCAAGUUGAGGUCAAGAGAGAUUGCAUCCAUCAAGGUGCAAUGGAAGAAUCGACCGGUUGAAGAAGCCACUUGGGAGAAGGAGGCAGAUAUGCGAGAAAAAUACCCAUAUCUGUUUACAGAUUCAGGUACUCCUUUUCGCCCUUGUUUUCCUUCUUGUGAUCGUUCGGGGAUGAACGAUGGGUAAAUUGGUAUCUAAUGUAACGACCUGUUUAGUCGUUUUGAGCAACAGAUUUUAUUUCUGGAAAAACAGGCUGAGACGACGGAACCCACGACGGAACGUCAUAGGCACGACGGACCGUCGAGGGUGUCUCGUCCCAAAAAACUUAGAAAUUCUAAAAUUUUGGUGCUGAAAUCGACUCUCUGAACUUUGUAACGAAAUGGCAGGACGGACCGUCACAGGUGUGACGGACCGUCACAGACCCUUGGUGGAAAUUUGGGUCUCUGAACUUUGCGACGACCUGCAGGAAGGACCGUCGCAGGCACGACGGCCCGUCACAGGUUGCGCAAUCCCAGUCCGGGUCGGAUUUCUUGAUACAUUUUAAGGGACGUUUUUGACUAUUCUUGGCUUAAUUAUAAAGUUAGUGGGUUAAUAUUAAUAAGUCUAAUUACUUGGGGGUUAAAAGAGGUAACCUUAAGUUAAUUAGUGGGGCAUUAUUGCCAUCUUUUAUCCUUAAUUAUAUACUAAUUAGGGUAAAAGAAAGAGGGUUUGAAUAAAUAAAAUAGAAAGAACAAGAGAAAGAGAGAGAAAGUUGAACGAGAAAGAGGAGAGACGAAGAGGACACAAAGCUUUGGGAAUUUGCUUGCUUGAUUUCUAAUCUUCGGUGGAGGUAGGUUAUGGUUUUCAUGCUUUCAUAGUAAACUCUUAAUAGAGAAUGAUAUGUAUUGGUAGUAUUGUAAACCCUGCUAUGUGCUUAAUUGUAUGCAUGCAUGAACGUGAUUAUAUAAUUGUGAUUAUAUUAAGCAUGAUGAAGUUACUGAAUCCCAAAUCUUGAUAAAAACCUAAUCUCUUUUUAAUGAUGAUGCCUUGGUAAGGGAGAAGGCUUGAUGAACUAAAGUAAUGAGAUUGAUGAUGCCUUGGUAAGAAGGAAGGCUUGAUGAAUUGAUGGAAGGAGAUUUAGGGGAUCGGGUGUCACGAACCGACACGUAGAAUUAGGGGAUCGGGUGUCACGAACCGACACCUAGAAUUAGGGGAUCGGGUGUCACGAACCGACACGUAGAAUUAGGGGAUCGGGUGUCACGAACCGACACGUAGAAUUAGGGGAUCGGGUGUCACGAACCGACACGUAGAUUUAGGGGAUCGGGUGUCACGAACCGACACGUAGAUUUAGGGGAUCGGAGUGUCACGUGCCGACACAAGAGGAUUAAUGAAUAUGAGGGAUCAGAGUGUCACGUACCGACAUAAGAGGAUUAAUGAAUAUGAGGGAGCGGAGUGUCACGUACCGACACAAGAGAAAUAAAGAUAAUGAAUCUUGAAAGAUGUUAAUAUACUCAAUCUAAUAAACAUAAUUCCCAAAUGAGUAUGGCAUUGAGGCUUGAGUCCUCGUGCGUGAACUUGACGGUAAUUGUUAAUGAUAUAGUACUUGUUGUUGCUACAUGUUGAGUAUCAUGGUUGAUUUUAUGAUAUUAUUGGUAUAUAUUGAUUUUCUAUUUUGAGUUGGCCGAUGAUAUCUACUCAGUACCCGUGUUUUGUACUGACCCCUACUUUUAUGUUCUCUUCUUGUUUAUUUGUGGAGUGCAGCAAACGUGC
rnacentral:lncRNA from 1 species